GAAGUGUGGCAGAACAAAAUUGAGAACGUCUUUGAGAUCCAGCUUCCGCAAACCACUUUUCGCACUUUUUAAAAGCGAAAGUAAGGGAAUAAAACUGCUCAAAUCUUUGGAAAGCCACGCUGAAGAGAUACAAUCAACUUUAAUUUGGCUUGCG